CAAUCAUCAUGCCCUUUAUGCCCUGGGCUACGACACGUGCUACAAUGGCCUGUACAACGGGAUGCGAAGGGGCGACCCGGAGCGAAUCCUCAGAAACAGGUCUCAGUUCGGAUUGCAGGCUGCAACCCGCCUGCAUGAAGUCGGAAUCGCUAGUAAUCGCAGGUCAGCAUACUGCGGUGAAUACCGGUUCCCGGGCCUU
rnacentral:rRNA from 1 species